rnacentral:rRNA from 2 species
ACGUAGGUGGCGAGCGUUGUCCGGAAUUAUUGGGCGUAAAGAGCAUGUAGGCGGCUUAAUAAGUCGAGCGUGAAAAUGCGGGGCUCAACCCCGUAUGGCGCUGGAAACUGUUAGGCUUGAGUGCAGGAGAGGAAAGGGGAAUUCCCAGUGUAGCGGUGAAAUGCGUAGAUAUUGGGAGGAACACCAGUGGCGAAGGCGCCUUUCUGGACUGUGUCUGACGCUGAGAUGCGAAAGCCAGGGUAGCGAACGG